rnacentral:rRNA from 1 species
UAGGGAAUAUUGCUCAAUGGGGGGAAAACCCUGAAGCAGCAACGCCGCGUGGAGGAUGAAGGUUUUCGGAUUGUAAACUCCUUUUGUUAGAGAAGAUAAUGACGGUAUCUAACGAAUAAGCACCGGCUAACUCCGUGCC